GACCGGGUCCUGUGCGGCAGAGGCUCCGAACCGUGUCAGGACCGGAAGGUAGCAGCACUAAGGAGUACCUUCUGGGUGUCACAGGGGCGCCCGGCCUGA
rnacentral:SRP_RNA from 1 species